rnacentral:rRNA from 1 species
CCUACGGGAGGCAGCAGUGAGGGAUAUUGGUCAAUGGGGGAAACCCUGAACCAGCAACGCCGCGUGAGGGAAGACGGUUUUCGGAUUGUAAACCUCUGUCCUCUGUGAAGAUAAGGACGGUAGCAGAGGAGGAAGCUCCGGCUAACUACGUGCCAGCAGCCGCGGUAAGACGUAGGGAGCAAGCGUUGUCCGGAUUUACUGGGUGUAAGGGGGGCGGAGGCGGCCCUGCAAGUCAGAAGUGAAAACCAGGGGCUCAACCUGUGGCCUGCAUUUGAAACUGGUUUUCUUGAGUACUGGAGAGGCAGCCGGACUUCCUAGUGUAGCGGUGAAAUGCGUAGAUAUUAGGAGGAACACCAGUGGCGCCGGCGGUCUGCUGGACAGCACCUGACGCUGAGGCGCGAACGCGUGGGGAGCAAACAGGAUUAGAUACCCUAGUAGUC